ensembl:lncRNA
CCAGAUUUCAAUGUUUGAGUAUGUAAGCGGUUAACUGAUUGUGUCAGUUUAUGCAGCCGAGUUGAUGGCCAUAAUUAUAGGUUUGAAAUGGGUGGAGGAGGUGAAACCACUCAGAGUGGUGAUCUGCUCUGAUUCGACUGCAGUGUUGAGUAGUGUGAAGACGAGCAGGUCGGAUAGUGGAGACUUGUUUGUGUAAAUGAUGGUGCUGUUAAUGGGAUGGGAGUGGUGAUAAGCUUUUGCUGGGUUCCCGCCAACGUGGGUGUGGAGGGUAAUUAGAAGGCUGAUGUGAUGACUAAGAGGGCAGUGAGGAGAGAGGGGGUAGAUAUUCAGUUCCCGUUGGGCCGUAGGGAAGUCAAGUCCUUGAUUCGGGCAAAAGGGCUCGAUCUUUGUCAAAGGAAGUGGUAUGCUAGUAGUAAGGGGAGGCAAUUUUAUCGCAUUCACCGGUCAGUUAAGGAAGAGGUGGGCAGUAUGGGAUGUAGGAGAGAGGAAGUUGUGUGGAGUGGACUGCGGUUUGGACACACCAGGUUUGAAUGCCACGUUGUGGAUGAUAAGGAGACAUGAAACAGGUCUGUGUGAUGAGUGUUAAGUGGAGGAAACUGUAGAGCAUGUGUUGAUAUUUUGUGAACUGUAUGACGUUGAUAGAGAGAGAUUGUGUGAAAGGGUUAGAAAGGCUGGACGGGGUUUGGGUGGUGUUGUGAGUCAAAUCAAACCAAAGUCAAAGUCAAAUCAAACCAAAGUUCAGUGUCACAUACGCCGAAUACAACAGUGAAAUGCUUACUUAAAGGCUCUAACCAAUAGUGCGAGAAAAAAAAGAAGAGUUGUGUGUGUGUAAGACACUAUAAGCUGCAUGACCCUGAGAGUGCUUCUCCCACCACCAGCGCAUCAAAUUCAUAUACUAAUGACGACAUGGUCCUGAAAGCUCAGGAGACUGCUGAGGGGAGGACAGCUCAUAAUAAUGGCUGCAAUGAAGUGAAUGGAAUGGUAUCAAACACUUUUUCGAUACCUUUCCAUUAAUUCCGUUCCAGCCAUUACUAUUACCAAAUAAGGUGCGACCAACCUCGUGACCCUGAAAGUAUUUCUCCCACCACCAGUUUCCCGUGUGCAGAUACGAAAGACGACCUGAUCUUGAGACUGAUUCUCCCACCACAAGUAACGAGUUGGAAAAAAGACUGCCUGCCCAAGCUUUGAUGAGGCCUGAAAGUCAUAUUGUACCGUUGCAACCAAUAUGGCUGAAUAUCUUCGCCAGGCGACCAAAAGGACAAGAGGAACCGAACCCUUUGCUCUGACUCUCGUGUGACAAUCACCCCUACUCCAUGGCAUUCACUAUCAUGAGCAGGCUCUGGAGCAGAGGACAUUAUGUUUAGCUGUUUUACAAGAAUUCAUAUGGAAAAUGGAUACCUGGUAGGGGUUUGGGGGAGUAAAGGGUAAAGUGUUUACUUUUCUUCACCCCCUUUCCUCAGCUUUAAUUGCUGGGGCUCCUGUGAUUUUUGAAAUGAUGGAUUGUGCUAAAGUUUUUAUUUGUGUGUUCCUUAUUUGUUUAUCCUUUGCAUGACUUCACUUUGGAGCUGAAAUGAAUCAUUCAAAAUACACAUUUUGUAUUUUAUCUACAAUUUGUCAUGAUUGGCCAUAUGUCAUUUUAAGAAUUUCAUCGACUGUGUCGAAAUGUUGUAACAUUGAUUGUUAUGGUUAGACAUAUUUUGUACAUUUAGAGAAUUAACAGGUUCUGUAAUAGAGAAGUAGAAAAAUAACCCAGCAAUAAAGUAAGAAAUAACCCACGGCUGGGUCAAAAAUACAAAAAUAAAAAUAACCCAGCAAAAGAGUAAAAAGCAACCGACUGCUGGGUCAAAGUAAUCGCAUUUUGUGGUAAAUCAAGAAACCCAACGUGUUGGGUCAUUCACGUAACCCAACAGUGCUGGGUCAUUCACGUAACCCAACAGUGCUGGGUCAUUCACGUAACCCAACAGUGCUGGGUCAUUCACGUAACCCAACAGUGCUGGGUCAUUCACGUAACCCAACAGUGCUGGGUCAUUCACGUAACCCAACAGUGCUGGGUCAUUCACGUAACCCAACGUGUUGGGUCAUUCACGUAACCCCAACAGUGCUGGGUUAAAAUAGUUUUUGUGUGUAGGGAAAAGGGAUGACUAUGACAUUGAACCUCUGUAGAUAAGAUAUACUGUAGGUGUAUGUUAUUCCCAACCUUAAAAGUUUGGGGGAUAUUAAUGUUUACAUAAGGAAGAUGACCUUGGAUUAAAACCUCUACAGGAUUGGUGGUUCCCCCACGGGACGGUCGAGCUAACGUAGGCUCAUGCGAUUAGCAUGAGGUUGUAAGUAACAAGAACAUUUCCCAGGACAUAGAAAUAUCUUACAUUGGCAGAAAACUUCAAUUCUUGUUAAUCUAACUGCACUGUCCAAUUUACAGUAGCUAUUACAGUGAAAGAAUACCAUGCAAUUGUUUGAGGAGAGUGGACAGUUAUGAACUUAAAGUUAUUAUUAAACCAAUUAGCCACAUUUGGGCAGUCUUGAU